CCUAACACAUGCAAGUCGAACGGGGUGACGAGAAAGCUUGCUUUUUUGGAACCUAGUGGCGAACGGGUGAGUAACGCGUAAACAACCUACCUUUAGGACGGGGACAACAGACGGAAACGACUGCUAAUACCGGAUAGACUCUCGAAUCGAGUGAGACGAAGAGAAAAGGUGGCCUCUCGAAGAAGCUAUCGCCUAAAGAGGGGUUUGCGUCUGAUUAGUUAGUUGGUGGGGUAACGGCCUACCAAGACGAUGAUCAGUAGCCGGUCUGAGAGGAUGAACGGCCACACUGGAACUGAGACACGGUCCAGACUCCUACGGGAGGCAGCAGUGGGGAAUCUUCCGCAAUGGACGAAAGUCUGACGGAGCAACGCCGCGUGAGUGAAGAAGGCCUUCGGGUUGUAAAGCUCUGUUAUUCGGGAAGAAAGGAUAUGCUGUGAAUAAUGGUGUAUAUUGACGGUACCGAAAGAGAAAGCCACGGC
rnacentral:rRNA from 1 species